rnacentral:rRNA from 1 species
AGGACGAACGCUGGCGGCGUGCUUAACACAUGCAAGUCGAGCGGUAAGGCCUUUCGGGGUACACGAGCGGCGAACGGGUGAGUAACACGUGGGUGAUCUGCCCUGCACUCUGGGAUAAGCCUGGGAAACUGGGUCUAAUACCGGAUAUGACCUGCUCUCGCAUGGGGGUGGGUGGAAAGAUUUAUUGGUGCAGGAUGGGCCCGCGGCCUAUCAGCUUGUUGGUGGGGUAAUGGCCUACCAAGGCGACGACGGGUAGCCGACCUGAGAGGGUGACCGGCCACACUGGGACUGAGACACGGCCCAGACUCCUACGGGAGCAGCAGUGGGAAUAUUGCACAAUGGGACGAAAGCCUGAUGCAGCGACGCCGCGUGAGGAUGAAGGCCUUCGGGUUGUAAACCUCUUUCAGCGAGGGACGAAGCGCGAAGUGACGGUACCCG